UAUAAAUGAAGUUUAACACCUUAUUCAGUCAAUCAAAGUAUUUGUCAAAAUUUGGAAAGAAACUAUCUGAAAUUAAUGAAAUGGAUAAACCAGAAGUCCGGUGUACCUGUUCAUGCUGCGAACUCGAAUAUCAAAGACGUGAAAUGUUAAAAAACAAUGUUGUCACUUUCCUCGUAGUAUGUGGUCUUAUAAGAAUGUUCAGGACUAUCAUUGGUCCAGCUGUUGUUUAAAAUAUGCAGAGUCCAGGCAUUAUCACAAUUAAAUUGACCAUUUACUCUUAA